rnacentral:rRNA from 1 species
UACGUAGGUGGCAAGCGUUACUCGGAAUCACUAGGCGUAAAGCGCAGGUAGGCGGUUGGAUAAGUCUGUUGUGAAAGCUCCCGGCUUAACUGGGAGAGGUCAACGGAAACUAUCCGGCUAGAGUGUGGUAGAGGUAGCUGGAAUUCCCGGUGUAGCGGUGAAAUGCGUAGAUAUCGGGAGGAAUACCUAUGGCGAAAGCAGGCUACUGGACCAUCACUGACGCUGAUCUGCGAAAGCUAGGGGAGCAAACGGG